GCAUCUCGGUGGUUUCCAUUUCCAAAAUACUCCCGACAGCGCUUCCGGCGAGCGGCGAGGCGGCGGUUGCGCGGCGCCGCUGCGAGUGGCUUCGCGAGGAAGCGGCGCAUCUGCGGCGGGUUCGUGGCGGAGCAGCGGCUGAACCGCGGCGAGCGGCUUCGUGGGGGAGCGGAGGAUUCGCGGCGGAGCAGCAUGCCAGGAGCGUCCGGUAGCGGCGCCGGAGAGGAGGCCCCUGGGGAAGCUGCGGGCCGCGACGCCACCUGCGGUGAGCAUCGGGGGCUGCUGCGUCGAGGGAGAAGGGCGACUGCGCAACGGGGCCCUAGGCUGACGACGUCCGCUAGCGGCUGCGACGAGGAUGCCCCCGGACGAAGCCGUGGGCCGCGCGCGAACCUGAUCCCAGGCUGCGACAACUGCUACUUCCGGCGCCCGUCGCACGGCGCCAUCCGGCCCCGGCGACAAAUCAAGGUUGCAACCAAAACGCUCGGGGACGGUCAUACGGAAACCCCGCAUAAAGCAGUAGCAUAAGAACAGGGUGUUGUCAACUUGAAGCAGAACAAAAGCUUCAAGGAUGCACCCGAUGCUCCAAGCUUCUCUCUUGGCUUAACUGAUGACGAGGAUUCUCAAGGAACAGGCGAGGGUCAUCUUGUCAAGCAUGUGGCAAGCGGAGAAGAUGACAAACUGUACUAUGAGGUACACAAGCACAUCAGGCAGCAUAGUGCCCAAGCUCACAUCCCAGUAUUCUUUAAAUCCUCUGAGAUAACAGUUUCUGCACAUGAGGUAGCAAGGGCCAUGAUGAUGGGAAAAUCACUAGACACUUAUGCUCUCCAAGUGGGGACUUAUGUACUGUCAGAGGAUCCUACACAAAAGAGGAGAAAGAUAAUAUCCCCUUGGGUGUUGAUCAAGAUGAUGACAGAAGGGGAGAUGUUUAGCAAGAUGGUUGAGAAGGCUUUUGACUUCCUCGACACAGAUUACGACAUGUAUUCCAGUCCACCAAGAGAACGCAGAAGAUUUGAGCGGGGAUGGGCAUUGGUUCAUAGUUGUAGUGAACAUGAAGGCUAGGAUGUUCCAAGUGAUUGAUUCAUUGAGGAACCCCGAUGAUAUGAUGUGGAUAACCAAAUGUAAACAGGGCGAGCAAAAGUGAUCACACUAUGGAACAGGUACACAUCGAAGCAUAAGGGAGGAGAGAAUCGUACCAUUUCCACCUUUGAGCUGGAGUACAUUGGCGGGUACAAGCAAUUCAGCAUCCACGAUUGCGGGCUGUUCACACUGAAGGCUAUAGAAUAUUGGGAUGGAUGCAAGCUACCAAAUCUCAAAGAGUUUGACAAAUUUACUAUGAGGAAGCAGAUUCUUGCAAAAUGGUUUCAUAGCCCAGCAAACAAGAUAGAACGUAAGAGUGAUUUCUGUCUCGAAGGGAAAGGAAAAAAUGGUACAACAGUAGGCAAUAAGGGGAGUGGGGGGGAGGGUUGAGGCGGCAACACAUUGAUGAUGUAAUGAAUGAUACAGAUGUAUUUUAUCCUUUUUUUUGUAAUGUAGCGAAUCCUGUGUGCAAACUAGCAACUUGUGUAAUAUAUGGGGGAGUCAAACUAACAA